rnacentral:rRNA from 1 species
UACGGGGGGAGCAAGCGUUGUUCGGAUUUACUGGGCGUAAAGGGCGCGUAGGCGGCCACCGCAAGUCGGUUGUGAAAUCUCUGGGCUUAACCCAGAAAGGUCAACCGAUACUGCGGGGCUAGAGUGCAGAAGGGGCAACUGGAAUUCUCGGUGUAGCGGUGAAAUGCGUAGAUAUCGAGAGGAACACCUGCGGCGAAGGCGGGUCUCUGGACAGUUCCUGACGCUGAGGCGCGAAGGCCAGGGGAGCAAACGGG